UACGUAGGGGGCAAGCGUUAUCCGGAUUUACUGGGUGUAAAGGGAGCGUAGACGGCAAGGCAAGUCUGAUGUGAAAACCCAGGGCUUAACCCUGGGACUGCAUUGGAAACUGUCUGGCUUGAGUGCCGGAGAGGUAAGCGGAAUUCCUAGUGUAGCGGUGAAAUGCGUAGAUAUUAGGAAGAACACCAGUGGCGAAGGCGGCUUACUGGACGGUAACUGACGUUGAGGCUCGAAAGCGUGGGGAGCAAACAGG
rnacentral:rRNA from 1 species